GUAAACGUUAUACAGCCAUAUUGGCCUUUAGGCUAGGCGAGGAUGGACCAUGGAUCAUCUCUUGUUAUAUCUGACGUUCUAAGUUUAAAAAGUCCGGAUCCUUGUGUGUGGAUGGAAAAUAUGAACAAAAACCAUGUAGCUUUUGAACAAUUUUAAAAAUUGAAUUUGAAUUGCUUACUACUUAAAAACUGAAGCAACAUUUUCAAGCUGAAAACUAUGGAUCCUUAAAAUAGAAGCAUUAAUGUAAACACAUCAUUUUAAAAUUCUAAUUUGCUAAAUCCUAUGGCAAUAAAAUAUGAACCGCCAACUUUGAUCCUUUGUUCCCGAUAGGAAGGGCAAUUUCAAUGGCGGAAAAGCCCUAGGCACUGACACAUACUUAUCAUCAUCCUUGAUUGCUGGUAUUCAUCCAUCGCACACAAAACCCUUAUCUCAGCUGCGAUUUUCACAGACAAAGGAAUUGUGCACAAGGAUCUAUAAAGCCACCAAGUGCCUGACGAAGGGUUGAUGAAGUGGCCAUAAGUAAAAGCUAUAAACUAUCCAAAGUAGCCAAAAAGCGAUAAGUACUGGACCACACUGCGUGUACUUACUCUGGCGCUUUUCCUUGCCCU